UGGGGAAUAUUGGACAAUGGGCGAAAGCCUGAUCCAGCCAUGCCGCGUGUGUGAAGAAGGCCUUUUGGUUGUAAAGCACUUUAAGUGGGGAGGAAAAGCUUGUGGUUAAUACCCAUAAGCCCUGACGUUACCCACAGAAUAAGCACCGGCUAACUCUGUGCCAGCAGCCGCGGUAAUACAGAGGGUGCAAGCGUUAAUCGGAAUUACUGGGCGUAAAGCGCGCGUAGGUGGUUAUUUAAGUCAGAUGUGAAAGCCCCGGGCUUAACCUGGGAACUGCAUCUGAUACUGGAUAACUAGAGUAGGUGAGAGGGGAGUAGAAUUCCAGGUGUAGCGGUGAAAUGCGUAGAGAUCUGGAGGAAUACCGAUGGCGAAGGCAGCUCCCUGGCAUCAUACUGACACUGAGGUGCGAAAGCGUGGGUAGCAAACAGGAUUAGAUACCCUGGUAGUCCACGCCGUAAACGAUGUCUACCAGUCGUUGGGCCUUUUAAAGACUUAGUGACGCAGUUAACGCAAUAAGUAGACCGCCUGGGGAGUACGGCCGCAAGGUUA
rnacentral:rRNA from 1 species